AGAGUUUGAUCCUGGCUCAGGAUGAACGCUGGCGGCGUGCUUAACACAUGCAAGUCGAACGGUGAAGCCCAGCUUGCUGGGUGGAUCAGUGGCGAACGGGUGAGUAACACGUGAGCAAUCUGCCCCUGACUCUGGGAUAAGCGCUGGAAACGGCGUCUAAUACUGGAUACGAACCGUGGAGGCAUCUUCAACGGUUGGAAAGAUUUUUUGGUCAGGGAUGAGCUCGCGGCCUAUCAGCUUGUUGGUGAGGUAAUGGCUCACCAAGGCGUCGACGGGUAGCCGGCCUGAGAGGGUGACCGGCCACACUGGGACUGAGACACGGCCCAGACUCCUACGGGAGGCAGCAGUGGGGAAUAUUGCACAAUGGGCGAAAGCCUGAUGCAGCAACGCCGCGUGAGGGAUGACGGCCUUCGGGUUGUAAACCUCUUUUAGCAGGGAAGAAGCGAAAGUGACGGUACCUGCAGAAAAAGCGCCGGCUAACUACGUGCCAGCAGCCGCGGUAAUACGUAGGGCGCAAGCGUUAUCCGGAAUUAUUGGGCGUAAAGAGCUCGUAGGCGGUUUGUCGCGUCUGCUGUGAAAUCCCGAGGCUCAACUUCGGGUCUGCAGUGGGUACGGGCAGACUAGAGUGCGGUAGGGGAGAUUGGAAUUCCUGGUGUAGCGGUGGAAUGCGCAGAUAUCAGGAGGAACACCGAUGGCGAAGGCAGAUCUCUGGGCCGUAACUGACGCUGAGGAGCGAAAGGGUGGGGAGCAAACAGGCUUAGAUACCCUGGUAGUCCACCCCGUAAACGUUGGGAACUAGUUGUGGGGUCCAUUCCACGGAUUCCGUGACGCAGCUAACGCAUUAAGUUCCCCGCCUGGGGAGUACGGCCGCAAGGCUAAAACUCAAAGGAAUUGACGGGGACCCGCACAAGCGGCGGAGCAUGCGGAUUAAUUCGAUGCAACGCGAAGAACCUUACCAAGGCUUGACAUAUACGAGAACGCUGCAGAAAUGUAGAACUCUUUGGACACUCGUAAACAGGUGGUGCAUGGUUGUCGUCAGCUCGUGUCGUGAGAUGUUGGGUUAAGUCCCGCAACGAGCGCAACCCUCGUUCUAUGUUGCCAGCACGUAAUGGUGGGAACUCAUGGGAUACUGCCGGGGUCAACUCGGAGGAAGGUGGGGAUGACGUCAAAUCAUCAUGCCCCUUAUGUCUUGGGCUUCACGCAUGCUACAAUGGCCGGUACAAAGGGCUGCAAUACCGUGAGGUGGAGCGAAUCCCAAAAAGCCGGUCCCAGUUCGGAUUGAGGUCUGCAACUCGACCUCAUGAAGUCGGAGUCGCUAGUAAUCGCAGAUCAGCAACGCUGCGGUGAAUACGUUCCCGGGUCUUGUACACACCGCCCGUCAAGUCAUGAAAGUCGGUAACACCUGAAGCCGGUGGCCCAACCCUUGUGGAGGGAGCCGUCGAAGGUGGGAUCGGUAAUUAGGACUAAGUCGUAACAAGGUAGCCGUACCGGAAGGUGCGGCUG
rnacentral:rRNA from 1 species